UACGUAGGCAGCAAGCGUUGUUCGGAGUUACUGGGCGUAAAGGGUGUGUAGGCGGUUAUUUAAGUUUGGUGUGAAAUCUCCCGGCUCAACCGGGAGGGUGCGCCGAAUACUGAAUGACUUGGAGUGCGGGAGAGGAAAGUGGAAUUCCUGGUGUAGCGGUGAAAUGCGCAGAUAUCAGGAAGAACACCCGUGGCGAGGGCGGCUCUCUGGGACGGUACUGACGCUGAGACGCGAAAGCGUGGGGAGCGAACAGG
rnacentral:rRNA from 1 species